rnacentral:rRNA from 1 species
GGGUGAGUAACACGUAUCCAACCUGCCCUUUACUCGGGGAUAGCCCUUCGAAAGAAAGAUUAAUACCCGAUAGCAUAAUGAUUCCGCAUGGUUUCAUUAUUAAAGGAUUCCGGUAAAGGAUGGGGAUGCGUUCCAUUAGGUUGUUGGUGAGGUAACGGCCCACCAAGCCUUCGAUGGAUAGGGGUUCUGAGAGGAAGGUCCCCCACAUUGGAACUGAGACACGGUCCAAACUCCUACGGGAGGCAGCAGUGAGGAAUAUUGGUCAAUGGGCGCUAGCCUGAACCAGCCAAGUAGCGUGAAGGAUGAAGGCUCUAUGGGUCGUAAACUUCUUUUAUAUAAGAAUAAAGUGCAGUAUGUAUACUGUUUUGUAUGUAUUAUAUGAAUAAGGAUCGGCUAACUCCGUGCCAGCAGCCGCGGUAAUACGGAGGAUCCGAGCGUUAUCCGGAUUUAUUGGGUUUAAAGGGAGCGUAGGUGGACUGGUAAGUCAGUUGUGAAAGUUUGCGGCUCAACCGUAAAAUUGCAGUUGAUACUGUCAGUCUUGAGUACAGUAGAGGUGGGCGGAAUUCGUGGUGUAGCGGUGAAAUGCUUAGAUAUCACGAAGAACUCCGAUUGCGAAGGCAGCUCACUGGACUGCAACU